rnacentral:rRNA from 1 species
UACGAAGGGGGCUAGCGUUGUUCGGAAUUACUGGGCGUAAAGGGCUCGUAGGCGGCCAACUAAGUCAGACGUGAAAUCCCUCGGCUUAACCGGGGAACUGCGUCUGAGACUGGAUGGCUCGAGUGUGGGAGAGGGAUGCGGAAUUCCAGGUGUAGCGGUGAAAUGCGUAGAUAUCUGGAGGAACAUCGGUGGCGAAGGCGGCAUCCUGGACCAUGACUGACGCUGAGUGAGCGAAAGCCAGGGGAGCAAACGGG